CAACAAAACCAACCUAUUCUGUGGAAAAUCAUUCAAAUGAACGACACUAAGGGAUCUCCUAUCCUGGAACACAUUCGGUCCCCACCCAGUGAAUCGCAUAACAAACCGAACCAAUCAGGUGAUUCGAAGCAGUUGAGUGCUUCAAACGUCACUGAAGUGAUUCAAACGUCAUCGAGUCACCUGACCAAACCACGCGACGGCACAGUGGCUGGAUACGUUUGCUUCAUGAGCUACCGCGCAUGUGUCGAAGCCUCGGGUAUCAGAGGACCAUCACUAGCAGUGGCCCCCUUUGGGAUCUGAUUGGCCACCCCGUGUGCCCCCCCCAAAAUUUUCGUUGGAAAUUUACAUUACUGAAACUCCGAUUUCCGACGCUCCUGAACGCAACUUUGUUGUCCGACUGCAACUGAAUGCACCAAUGACGUUAGUUUGAUCUUUUGGCUGUAUUUCGUUUGAUUUGAAGAAGCUUUGAAGACUUUCCUGAUGCCAGAAGAGAAGAAAAAGCUGCUCGAGCUUUGUACCUUUGCUGUAAGAAGACUAUGGCCGUUUCUCAGUCCCUCUCUAUCUCCCCACACAUCCACCAACCACUGAAACACAUCUCCAAAGUUCUGCCGGGCCAGCUAAGCUUCCCCUCAGAAGAAGUGCUGCCACCUGCCAGAUGAAGGAGCCUUUUGAGAGGCAGCUGGCAUCGUGAUUGGACUGUACUUUGGUCUGUUCCAGUCCAGCUUCAGCCCCAGAGACGGCAGGCGGGACGAGUCAACGGAGGCCUGGUGGACGAAGGCAUGCAGCUGAGUACAAUCCAGAAAACAACAGAGGAGGAGUGCAGCAGCCCAGAGCCAGAACAACCAGAGUAGCAUGACCAAAGAACUACAGACUCUUCACAACCUGCUCAAACUCUUGGUACAGGAUCUCACCACACGGGUCAAGAAGGUUUCCUUCUCAUUUCUACUCUAAAACUCACCUUCUCCUGCUCAAACUGCUGACAAAUGUUUCUGCUGCUCUAAAGUCUGCUCUCCAGAACUUCCUAAAAACUCUCAAAGUCUCUUCUGCUGCAUGUUGCUUUGUAGAACUGCUCCAGAAAACCUCACUAAACCACAUGGAGGGGCCUCAAGAUAGUCGUCCAAAUGAAACCGUACAAAAACCAAACUAGCUCAACCCAAACACUAAAGUCCCCUGCAGCCUACCAGAGAACCUCUGACAACAGAGAAUCAGGACAGGAACUCUUACCUUCUGGACAACCAACGUUGGUUCACCAACAAGAAUACAGAAUGUGUCUGACCAAAAACCUCUGAAGACUCACUACAGCCAAGAUAAAGACACAACUCACCUGCACCAAAUCCACUAAUCACUGCACACAUUAGCACCAUGUGCUAACUGUGGCUAAAGAACCACAUUUACCAAGACAACUAUCCAGCACAAACUCCUAAAACACACCAAGAAACACAUUAAAGACGAUUUUACUGCUGGAAGCUGCAAGCCAACGCCUAAAGCACAAACUAAAGCAACGGAGCCAAACCCGGUUCAGUGGUGAAGAGAAACAGAGGAAAUGUUUGUCUGCAGCUAAAUAAAGCAGGAAGACACUGAGCUGCUCAGGUGUUCCUGAUAACACCAAGCUGCUCAGGUGUUCCUGAUAACACGAAGCAGCCACCUGGACAGCCAAUAGGAACACAGUUUACUGGAAGUCCAGAGGGCUGGCUUAAGCCGCGAUUCCACAAGCACCUACUCGGCGCGGUGCUGCUCGGCUCGUCUUUGUUUGCGAGCAUUUCCAUAUGGAUUAGUGCAUGGUAUCAGGCACGAUUUUCCGUACCUUCUCGGCUGUUCCAAGCGAGAUGAAGUGAGCCGAGAUGUGACGUCUACAUAGCGCAGGCCACUGAUUGGACAGCAGUGCAGGCCACUGAUUGGACAGGGAGUGACGACACACGAGAGCGACUCCAGCACGAAAACAAAACCGGCAUUUAAAAAAAAAAACUAAACAGCGACGGUGUGCAUUGGUCUUCACAGACCUCUCUGUUCUUCAUAAUUUUAAUAUGAUAGCCAGACCUGUACCGUGGGUGAAUGAAGAGGUCGAGACUUUUCUGUCUUUGGUGGUGGACCAAAGAAUACAGAGAGAGCUGGACGGAGAAAGUUUAUCAGGAGGUCUCUGAGCGGAUGGCCGCUCACAUAUACAGUAGACUGUAUAUAAAGAGGACAAUGAAGCAGUGUAGGGAGAAGCUGAAAAAGUUCAAAAAUGACUAUCGGUUCACCAAGGACCACAGCGGCCGGCGUGGGUCAACCAGGAGGUGUUGGAAGAGGUUUAAUGGAAGCUAUUUACUGGCACCACACCAGCGAGCAACAGGAGGGAGACUCAGCUGCUGCAUUAUUGGAGACGUUCAAGGACGAAUCCCUUUCGACGUGCGAAGCCUGCUCCACCUCCGUCAUGGAGCCCCCAGCUCCCUGCCUCCUCUCCAGCACCAGCUUCAGCACCAGUACCAACUCGGACACCGAGCCUGUCAUCAUCAACUUCCAGCACAUAACAGCAACGUCUUAUCACCGGCAAGAGGAAAAGGGGCAACAGAAAAUUGGACCUUCCAAGCAUGCUUGUGGAGAUGCAGGCUGAGAAGGAAUGGAGUCAUGCCCAGCAUGAUGAGAACAUCCGGUUGCUCCUCAGCGAGGCAAGAGAGAAUGAAGCGGCCUUGCAGCAGAGGAGAUGGUCCAGAAUACUGCCUUCAACCAGUCAUUCCUGGGUGUGCUGGGGCAGCUGGACCAGGCAGUGCUGGGUGUGCUGGGGCAGCUGGUGCAGGCAGUGGGCAGCCAGCCAGAAUUGCAUUAAAGAAAACAAUAGUGGUCCGGGGACCAAAAAACAGAAGUAUAACAAGAAGAAUAACUUCUAACUUCUGCAUGACACGUCCUGCAUCAGUGCAUCCUGUACAUCUCUGCCCUCCUCCUCCACACCUUGUGCCACUGCAGGCUGAUGUGCUGCUGCUUCAGCCCUGAAAAAAGCCUGUUCACACUGCACAGAUGAGGUCCCUCUCUAUCUCCCCACACAUCCACCAACCACUGGAACACAUCUCCAAAGUUCUGCUGGUCCAGCUCAGCUUCCCCUCAGAAGAAGUGGCGCCACCUGCCAGAUGAAGGAGCCUUUUGAGAGUCAGCUGGCAUCGUGAUUGGACUGUACUUUGGUCUGUUCCAGUCCAGCUUCAGCUCCAGAGACGGCAGGCGGGACAAGUCAACGGAGGCCUGGUGGUCGAAGGCAUGCAGCUGAGUACAAUCUAGAAAACAACUGAGGAGGAGUGCAGCAGCCCAGAGCCAGAACAACCAGAGUAGCAUGACCAAAGAACUACAGACUCUUCACAACCUGCUCAAACUCUUGGUACAGGACCUCACCACACGGGUCAAGAAGGUUUCCUUCUCAUUUCUACUCUGAAGCUCACCUUCUCCUGCUCAAACUGCUGACAAAUGUUUCUGCUGCUCUAAAGUCUGGUCUCCAGAUCUUCCUAAAAACUCUCAACGUCUCUUCUGCUGCAGGUUACUUUGUAGAACUGUUCCAGAAAACCUCACUAAACCACAUGGAGGGGCCUCAAGAUAGUCGUCCAAAUAAAACCAUACAAAAACCAAACUAGCACAGUACAAACGCUAAAGUCUCCUGCAGCCUACCAGAGAACCUCUGAGAACAGAGAAUCAGGACAGGAACUCUUACCUUCUGGACAACCAACGCUGGUUCACAAAUAAGAAUACAGAGUGUGUCUGACCAAAAGCCUCUGAAGACUCACUACAGCGAAGAUAAAGACACAACUCACCUGCACCAAAUCCACUAAUCACUGCACACAUUAGCACCAUGUGCUAACUGUGGCUAAAGAACCACAUUUACCAAGACAACUAUCCAGUACAAAGCCCUAAAACACACCAAGAAACACAUUAAAGACGAUUUUACUGCUGGAAGCUGCAAGCCAACGCCUAAAGAACAAAUUAAAGCAACGGAGCCAAACCCA